rnacentral:snRNA from 1 species
AACUUUGCUCACUGGCAGUAUCGUAGCCAAUGAGGUUUGUUUGAGGCAUGAUUGUAGCUAAUUGAAAGCUUAAAUGCAGUUGAAAUUUUGUUAUAUUAAUAGUUUU